rnacentral:rRNA from 1 species
ACGCUUGCUGCAUGCUUUAUACAUGCAAGUCGAACGGAGGCCCUAGCUUGCUAGGUGUCCUUAGUGGCGCACGGGUGAGUAACACGUGGGAACAUACCUUAUAGUACGGAAUAACUGCGGGAAACUGUAGCUAAUACCGUAUAUUCCAGAAAUGGGAAAGAUUUAUCGCUAUAAGAUUGGCCCGCGCAAGAUUAGCUUGUUGGUGAGGUAAAAGCUCACCAAGGCUUCGAUCUUUAGCUGGUUUGAGAGGACGAUCAGCCACACUGGGACUGAGACACGGCCCAGACUCCUACGGGAGGCAGCAGUAGGGAAUAUUGGACAAUGGGGGCAACCCUGAUCCAGCAAUGCAGCGUGAGUGACGAAGGCCUUAGGGUUGUAAAACUCUUUCAUCGGUGAGGAUAAUGACAGUAGCCGAAGAAGAAGGACCGGCUAAUUCCGUGCCAGCAGCCGCGGUAAUACGGAAGGUCCUAGCGUUGUUCGGAAUUACUGGGCGUAAAGCGCAUGUAGGCGGAACAGAAAGUUAGAAGUGAAAUCCCUGGGCUCAACCUAGGAAUUGCUUUUAAAACUUCUGUUCUGGAAUUCAGGAGAGGAAAAUGGAAUUUCCAGUGUAGAGGUGAAAUUCGUAGAUAUUGGAAGGAACACCAGUGGCGAAGGCGAUUUUCUGGACUGAUAUUGACGCUGAGAUGCGAAGGCAUGGGUAGCAAACGGGAUUAGAUACCCCGGUAGUCCAUGCAGUAAACGAUGGGUGCUAGUCGUCGGACUUUUGUUCGGUGUCGUAGCUAACGCGUUAAGCACCCCGCCUGGGGAGUACGGUCG